rnacentral:lncRNA from 1 species
AGUUCACCUCCACUAUUACUAAUAACAUUUAAAUUUUGUUAUCUUAUGAUGCGUCAUACCACAAAAUAGCGAUAUAACUAAUACUCAUUGUUGUAAUUCACCACAGAAGAGGUCAAACUAAACAUCAGCUUAUAUAUGGUGUUGCAAAGCUAUUGGUCGAGAUAACAGCCAGUUAAUGUUCAGUUUAGAUGUCCCUGUUUUAAAAUUGUCUAUUCAUAACUAAAAGCAGCACAAAUUGCUUUAACCCCUUGUAUUUUGCCCAUAGAUUUUCUCAUUUAAGUAUGCAGAUCUACGCGAGGCAAUAGAUUUUCUAUUGUUCUCUAAUUAGCAGCAUUCAAGAGGUUAAACAUACAAUAUGUCAUGUUUUGAGUCAUUGUCUUGUAUUUUGCCAUCAAGUUAAUGAUAAGUAUGUCCAACUUGUAUCAAUUUGUUCAAUAAUUGUGAACAGCAAUCGCUAUUCUUAAUGACAAAACCAGUGCACAUGCAAAAAUAAACCUUACACAAAUGAA